CGCGCAGGCGGAUUGAUAAGUCAGGUGUGAAAUCUCGGGGCUCAACCUCGAAACUGCGCCUGAAACUAUUAGUCUAGAAUGUCGGAGGGGGCAGGGGAAUUUCACGUGUAGGGGUAAAAUCCGUAGAGAUGUGAAGGAACACCGGAGGCGAAGGCGCCUGCCUGGACGACUAUUGACGCUGAGGCGCGAAAGCGUGGGGAGCAAACA
rnacentral:rRNA from 1 species